rnacentral:misc_RNA from 1 species
AGGCUUCCCGCAUUGAACACACGACAAGGCAGUUGCUUCCGCCGCAUUAGAGCAGCCGGCCAUCGAACCCUACAACUCUCGCCCUCUUUUUGUCUCUCCCAACAGCUUGCAGUCCAAUAAUCUCUGGUUGAUUGCGAGUUGUCGAAAGGAGGAUUUAGAAUUGAGAGGGUUGUGUAAAAGAGAGCAAGGGAAAUAAAAUUGGGCAGGAGUAGCUAGGGUUUUUAGAGAAAGACGGCGAACACGAUAACUGUAAAAAUCAAAGAUGUAGUCUAAAUGGUGACUUAUAAAUUCCCAAUUGAAAUCAAAGCGGGGCAAACUGUGGUAAUGGGCAGACAUAAGAAAGAGGGAGAGGAGCAAGGGAUUGACGAGAUUGGGAAAGAGGAAGAAUAAUUGAAAAAAAGAAAAGAGAGGGAAUUUUAACUUUAGCAAAAAACAAAAGGCGUUAGGUUAUUUUUUUAUAGAAAAUUG